rnacentral:rRNA from 1 species
AUGACCUCGAUCAGUAGAGCCGUCACG